rnacentral:rRNA from 1 species
GACGAACCGUGCAAACGUUGUUCGGAAUCACUGGGCGUAAAGGGUGCGUAGGCGGCGCGGUAAGUCGGGUGUGAAAUCUUGGAGCUUAACUCCGAAACUGCAUUCGAUACUGCCGUGCUUGAGGACUGGAGAGGAGACUGGAAUUUACGGUGUAGCGGUGAAAUGCGUAGAUAUCGUAAGGAAGACCAGUGGCGAAGGCGGGUCUCUGGACAGUUCCUGACGCUGAGGCACGAAGGCCAGGGGAGCGAACGGG